CAAAGAGCUGAUUGACUGUAGGCCUCCACGUCUGCCACCUAAACAGCCACCGAACUUCAUCAUCCUGGCUAGAUCCCAAAGGUAAACUGUCAUAAUAUACCUAGGAUCUGAGAAGUCUGUUUCAAGCAGUUGCGCAGGAUGAGCCUACUCUCCAGUGGUGCCCACCAGUCUGAUGAAACCACUGCUUGCCCGUGAGACCUUAUGUGGGUUAUAAAGAUGGUCGAAGGAAUAUUUCCACUCAGGUCUGAUCUCCAUGACCACCAAGACAGAAGCAAGCCCUGACAACCUUCCCAGGCGGAAGGAGAAUUUGAAGACAUAUCCUGUGGGAUAUUCUAUCUGUUCCCCUGAGGUGCAUGAAAGCAAAGAAGGCCAUUGAUCCCACACAGAGGUACCAAUGGCAGGGAUGCUGAGAAUCUACCAAAUAAAUCCAUAUUUUGUUUUUA